GACGAACGCUGGCGGCGUGCUUAACACAUGCCAGUCGAACGGAAAGGCCCUGCUUUUGUGGGGUGCUCGAGUGGCGAACGGGUGAGUAACACGUGAGUAACCUGCCCUUGACUUUGGGAUAACUUCAGGAAACUGGGGCUAAUACCGGAUAGGAGCUCCUGCUGCAUGGUGGGGGUUGGAAAGUUUCGGCGGUUGGGGAUGGACUCGCGGCUUAUCAGCUUGUUGGUGGGGUAGUUGCUUACCAAGGCUUUGACGGGUAGCCGGCCUGAGAGGGUGACCGGCCAAAUGGGGACUGAGAUACGGCCAAGACUCCUACGGGAGGCAGCAGUGGGGAAUAUUGCACAAUGGGCGGAAGCCUGAUGCAGCAACGCCGCGUGCGGGAUGACGGCCUUCGGGUUGUAAACCGCUUUCGCCUGUGACGAAGCGUGAGUGACGGUAAUGGGUAAAGAAGCACCGGCUAACUACGUG
rnacentral:rRNA from 1 species